GUUUUUAUUAUGCUGGUCGCGCCUUCAGGACAAAGUCACCUUUCGAUCUCGGGUGAAGUAAUCAAUUCAGGUCCUGCAAGGCGUCCGUCCGUCCGUCCGACCUUCGCAGUCAGCUCUCUCUCUCUCUCUCUCUUUUUUUUUUUUUUUUUUUUUUUUUUUCUUCCCCCAACGCGGACAUUGGAACUCUACACGUGGUAUUUUUCUUUUUGCCACGCCAUUGUUUUGGUGUCUCGAAUGGAUUGUCUCCGUGUGAAUGGCGUUCACUGCAAACCCUGACGGAGCGGAGGUGCGUUUCCUAGUCCCCCCUGCUGCCGCUGUCUGCUAGCGCGGCGUUUCCCUACUUUCGUCGCAAUCAUUCAUGGCGAGCUCCCACGGAUUGUUGGAUAUUGAAAGUAAGCUCGUUGUUGCUCGCAUCCACGGAAUCAACUGUGAAGAAGAAAAAAGAAAAAAGGAAAAAUAAACACAUGUGGGAAUUAAAGGGUGAGAGAAAUCGCAUCCUGAUUUGUUGAGAUUCCGAAGAACAGAAACGUCUGCCGAAGAUGGACGGUGAUUGCAGAUUGGCAUUGCCGGAAUGGAAAUAGGCCGAAGGUGAGGUAGAGACUGAUUGUGGCGUGUCGUGGGGUGGGAUUGAGCAGUGAUUGAGGAUGGCGGAAUGAGGGUGGUAAUGGCGGAGCGGGAUGGGGAAUAUUAGAUGAUUAGGUUUAGUUGAGCGGUGAGGUGUUGUGAAGGGAGGAGGGCAUGUGGUCGUGGAUGUGUAAUCCUUGGAAGACUAGAAUGUACAUGUUCGGGUUUGCGGUCGCGUCUCUGGGGGGUACAGCAGUGGUGAAUGUGGCGCGUGGACCGUGGUUGGGGGGCAACAUUGGGCGUGGCAUUGGUCCUCAUUUAGAUCGGAAGUCGAGGCUCGCAGCAGGAAUGAACCGCCGUAGAGGGAGCUCCUCAAGUGUGACGCCCAGCAUGUAAGACACAGCUGCUUUUUAUUUUGGCUAAAUCUUAUUUUAAUGCUGACGAGUGCAGUUGUGUCACUGUUUGUUCGGGUUUAACGUGCGAUGGCAUGACGUUUAGAUGGAAAGCUUGUAGAGCAUCGGCUUCGUUUGCUGAGAUGGAUUGGAAUAUCAGUGGGCUAAAUUUGGUUGUCACACAUGAGGAAUUUGCGUGGGACGCUGUUCAUUGCAUCCUUUUUGGACUGUAAUCAUGAGAUCGCGCUGCAACCCAUCUUCUGGUUUCUCUCUUGAAGGAUUCUUGAGUCAAGUGAUCGAUGAUGAAGGGUGUUUCCAUCUUGUUCUUACGGGGAACAAUGUCCGCCGUUGUGCACAUGGGUUUGUAUGGAAUGUUUCACUGAAUCAGAUUUUGGAUUCCGGGGCUUGAUUGUUCGACUACCGAUUCUCUCCUCAUGAACAUGAAUCUAAAACCCAGAUGCAUGGAUGUGCGAUUUAGCUCUAAGGAAUUGGCAUUUCUAUUUUAGGUUUUGAAUGCCUGACCCUUAUGUCGCCUCUUAAUCGAGGCUCACUGAAGUCUUGGGCCAUAUGAAUAGGAGGAAAGGCGCGUACAGCGUGGCACCGGGGGGGGGGGGGUAAAGAACAGCUACUCCGUGCGUGGGGUUGUCAACACACAACAAUAGCGGCCUCAGCGAUUUCUGAGAACCUCUUCAGAACUCUUGACCGUUCAAAUGGAAUCUUUCUUCAACUCGAUGUAAAUGUAGGCGAAUGGUAAAGUUUUCCAACAUGAACUGGAAAGAUUUAAGGGUCUUGAAAACUUGACUGUUAGCACUUCUAAAUUGUGGAUGCACGAUGCUUGGAUUUUUCCAACUGGAUCUAGCAUUUUGUGUUGGUUGCAGCUCUUUGUAAACCGUUUACAGUAUUAGAGAAUGUUUGUACAGUACAUUACAGAAUGUCUCUACAGCCUCGGUUCUGUACAAUUCAUACAGUGGACGAGAGUAUCUUUCUAUGCAUAAGCUGUCAGUUAGUAGCCCUUAAUUAUAUUAAGCAAGUUUUUUUCCCCACUAUAUAUGAUCCCAAUUAACACGUCCUCCUGGAAAGCGUGGGGGUGUUUUCUGCGUUACUUUGAAUUCUACGACUCGGGGAGAAGUUACUGCAGCUAUCUGUUCUUAUUUCGGGCUGCCACCGUAUACUUACCGUAUCAAUAUUUGACAGCAAGGAACAAUAGACAUUCCGCUCGUUUUAGUUACAGAGUGAUGUUGAGUUUUCAGGCUCGGAGAAACUCAUCGAGAUGGGUGCUUUGCCAAAUGUUAAUAUAACUUUUAUCACGUUUAAUCAAGCAUGAGCUCGACUUAUUAUAGUGAUCAACUUGUACUUGGAGGGGGUCAUCACGGACCCCCUCCAAGGAAACCUCUCAUUUGUCCCAUCACAUGGUAUUUGCUGCGUUGGGCCAAGUUGUCUAUGUUUAGUAUGGGGACCUGUGUACUCUCUGCUACAUGUUGACUACUGAAGGUGUUGAUUUUACUGGAGAUUUCUUGCUUGAGCGGGCAUUGUUUGAUGAUGAUGAUGCGGAAGAGGGUGUGUUGAAGAACCGGACCGCGAACUUACGACUACUACUCGAACUUCAAAACAGCAGUAGAACAAAAAUGUCUAUUUUUGGACAACAGCAAUUUCAUUCUCACUUUCACACCAAUGGUACGAUUCUGGUCAAGACGAUAGGAGAAUGGUAAUCUUGUUACGAUUUCAUGUGGAAAAUGAUGGCGCUUCGAAGCCAGAGUGAAGAUUAGCGAUUCCUGUUGCAAUAAGGGAUUGCGGACUCCGUUGCACGUCCUGUUUUACGUGUGGGUGAGGCUUCAUUGAUGUGUGGACUUUCUGACCAAUGUGGUUGAUGCAUGACACAUUUUUUAAAAACUGUCUCAUAAGGCCUCUAAAGUCAUCAAACGUGCUUACAUUACCAAGGACGUUUGGUACUGGCUUAAGUAUUUUGCUUCACAGGGCUAAUUUAUUCCAUCUACAUACAAAUGCUUCUUACAUAUUUCUGAAGUAGGUGCUUGGGUGGACAGUUGGUCAGGUUUUAGGUUUUUGGACAUAUUUGUUGUAUAAGACUAAUGCCCAGUUUCUAUGAUUUGUUCAAUGUCUUCGCUUUUCAGGUCUUGCAAUUUGCUCUGAUAGAUUCUCUAUUUUAUUGUACAACUUCAUUUUUGACAUUGUAGGCGUGUAGCCCAAGGAGUGAAAAACUGAGAAGUGAAGCCAGAGUGAAGAUUAGCGACUCAGGAAGCCCCGUUCUGUUGGUAAAUUUGGUUUGGUUUUUUGAGCUUGGAUGGUGGUUUUUGUUUUAUCCCAUUUCAGUAGAUGACGAUGGGUAGAUUCUUGACAUAGAUUGCCUUGUUCCUGCGAAUAAUCGUGAUUGGAUGUGUAUUUUCGAUUCCAUAUCCUGUAAAAAUCCAGACAAGUACAGAAGGAUGUUCAAAGUACCGGAGAGAAGAACUCUCACUUGGCAUUGAAAAACAAAUUGCACGCAUGGGAAUAUAUGAACCAAUUCCAAGUUUGUGAAAAACACAGACGUUGCCUGAGGAUUGUACCACAAAGUUGUGUUCCAUUCAUUGAUGCAACGUGACAUCAAGGCUCUUUCUCUCAAUCUUUUUAAGAAUAGCAUUGCGCUUGAUUGCAAUCGUCUGUAGUCAAUCGUAUCCCGAUGAAUGCAUGAAGCUCAGAAAGCAGCUUUAUAUCUGAUAAUUAGCGUUCACCAAAAUGGAGGUGGGAACUUGCAUGGUUUUCGUCUUGUCGGAGUCACCCAGUAAUGAACUUGAGCAACCUACAGUUUUUCCUAGCUAGAAAAUCUUUCUUUGUGCAAGUAAGUCACUGAAAGCCCUUCAUAAAACUACACUUCCUUUAGCCGUAUGUUUCACUGAGUUUGUUUCAUAAUUUUACUCGAAGGUUUGUUCCUCUUCGUUGUAUUUUGUAAUUUCAUUCGAAGUUUGGCCUUUUGCAGCUGGUCUUCUAGCAUUUCUACAGCCUGUUCCUUGUCAAUACUCUUCCACAAUCCAUGUGGCAGUACACAGGCUCUAGAUGCAGAUGCGAUGCAGUUCCGUGAUCCCAGAGACUUUCUAAAAUUGUUUCAAGUAGCUUGUGACGAGUAUACAUGCACAGCUGAAUUAUCAGUUAAUCGGGGGCUUUCUGUGUGAAUUAUUCAAUAAUUGCAUUUUUUAUCCCUACAAAUUUUGGUGACGGUCAAGGGGAGAUCAUACAUAUUUUCAUCACCAGGCUGUUAUGAUUGAUUGUUUUGGAGGCCGUUUCUAAAUUUGCAGUUCAAGAGGCCUUGUCGUGUUCGGCUUCACUUGAGUGUUCCCUCAUUGUUCAUGCCCAAAGAAUAUAUUUUCUGUUUAAAUCUCUGCAUUUUUAUCACCUUCCUGAUUCAGUUGAGUUAGUUUUGGUCACAUUUGAGGGUACGCUAAACUAGGUUCACUAAGAAGGAGACACACCAUUAAAAAAAUCGACAGUUUUUAGAGUUAGCCGCAUCGAGCUGUCGAUUUUCAUUUCCAUGAGAUACAAGCUUUUGUUUCUCGGUUCCGGCCGUUGAAUGAUGGAGAAGGAUAUAAUUAGGUUCUUUCAGGUUCGCACGUCGUCCCUUGCAAGGCCAGCAGUCAUUUCUGCCUUGAUAUUAUUCGUAUUAAUUUUUGAGAAUCUCUCUCGAAUUCGAUGAUGAAUGAUCGUGGGACGUAUGGAUGUAAUGCGUUGUCAGCGCAUACACCGUGGCACCUCAUGAGGCAUUGAUGCAACCCCAACUCAACUGCAAUAGGUUAAUGAUUAGACGAGUAUGCUCCUUCGCUUUGCAGUUGUUUGACAACGUCAUCCUCCGCCCAUACAUAGCAUUGUUAUGCUUGCUCAAUGUAUACCUCACUUUCCCGAAAGGAAGUCGAAACGCAUGUUUCAGGCAUGGAACAACAGCGGUAACCACCUUUCGUUGUCGCCAGGAACUUGGAAGGACUGUGAAUGCUAUGAUUGUGUUCGUCCUACGAGUAAACUGAGCAAUAUGGUUACUUGAAAUUGACCUGCCGCGAUAUUGCUUGAAAUAUAUCUGUACGUGUGUCUGUAACUGUUUGCCCUUA